AGUUAAUGAACUUGAUAAAAGUAUAUGUCUUGAAAACAUAAUAUAGAAAUAAAAUUUUCUAUUAACUU
rnacentral:tRNA from 1 species